GCAACCCUUAUCCUCAGUUGCCAUCAUUAAGUUAGGGCGACUCUGUGGAGGACUGCCGGGUGGUCAAACCGGAGGAAGGUGGGGAUGACGUCAAGUCCUCAUGGCCCUUAUGACCAGGGCUACACACGUGCUACAAUGGCCGGUACAAAGAGUUGCGAUACCGCGAGGUGGAGCUAAUCUCAUAAAGCCGGUCUCAGUUCGGAUUGGAGUCUGCAACUCGACUCCAUGAAGUUGGAAUCGCUAGUAAUCGCGGAUCAGCACGCCGCGGUGAAUACGUUCCCGGGCCUU
rnacentral:rRNA from 1 species